AUACCAUCGCUGGGGAUCCGUGAGCCACGCUCCAUCAAGGUGAGGCGAGGUCUGUCUGAGCUUGUUCCUCCUCUGCCUCCCACCUCCUCCUCCUUCGUUUCUUUAUCCGUGGAUGUAUCCGCCAUGUGUCGACAACACCUGUGGAAAGCAGCUGGCUGGGUAGCGGGGUGCUUCGCGGAGGCAGAGGGGGCUGGUAGAACCCGCUGAGGGUUACAGGGAUGUUUCACGCCAUGACAACAGGCACAGGCCCCUGCUGCUGAUGCAACUGCACACAAGGGACACGGAGACAUGGGAGGGAGCGGGGAAAGGUGUUUGCAUGUGCAAGUAGGUGUGUGUGUUUGUCUUUUUUAUGCGUUGCUGUGCGUGACAUGUGGGGCGGUAAAAUCCCUGCCUCUGUUUCAGGAGAAGAAAAAGGUUUAAGCUGCUCGGAAUCAAAGAGUUGAAAAAGAGGUAAAACCUGACGUUUGGUGUGGAGCUUCUGGGUCAUUUCCUGCUGGGGGACCUUUAUUUCACAUCGUCUGUUGUCUUGUUCAAUCAAGGAAAAGAAACAGAAAAGUGCACUCAGUUCACCGACCAAGACCUGCAGCAGGUGACGACGGGGACACGAGGGUAGGGAAUGACAACGUCUCCCUGACUCCGUCUCUUCUGCAGAGUUGCCUCUUUUGGCAAAAUGAACACUGCAGAGCCGAUAGGUACCCACAAUCUUGGGUCACUCCACCUACUGAAAGGUGGGGUAGGCAGGAUUUCAUUAAAGAAGCAUCUUUUUCUGUGGUGUAUUUACAAAAAAGCUUUUAAUAUCAGUCAAUAGCUAUUAGUUAUUGAUGACAUUCGGGAAUAUAACAAUAUCGCUGUGCUUUGUCAACAACAUUCUGCUCCCCCGUGUUGUGAAGCACGCUCCAUGUCCUCGUAUAACAUUCAUGAGCCCAAACAAAGUUAGCGUGCUACAAUAUCAGACCAUAGAAACCAACCAGAAAGUACAGAAAAUUGUCUGAAUCCUCCUCCGGCCACGACUGUCAACAAGCAAGAAAACAAAGUAAAUACCGGAGACUCUGGCAGAAUAACGGGCGCUUAAAAAGGAGGUAGACCAGACAAGAGCUAAGAAGCCGGGUCAAUGUCAGUGAAGCUAACUUUGGGAUCUUACAAACCUUGUAACCUUUCUGCUGGACAGGUAAACCGCUUUAACAAAGUAAGACAAGUGUCUGUAACAGAAGUGUUUCUUGUCAAACGGGACCUGCUGUAGCGUGUUGUAGCGCUGCUAAACUGUCCUCCCUCGGGUCCUGGACUAUGUCACUUUAUCCUCGUUGUAGAAGUCCUGCAAACAUUGUGUUUGUUGGUAGUCUGUUGGCAUCUACAGUAGCACCAAUGCUUUUUACUUUCACGUUGACUGGGCCCCAUCUGAAGUAUUUAUCUGCAUUAUAUCUGACUUGCUGGAGCAGACAGGGAGGGGUAGAGUUUACAUUCAACAUGUCUCUCAAAAACGGACACUUCUUUAGAUCCUGCCUACCCCACCUUUAAGGUCAUUAAAAGACCUAAAUAUGCAGGGAAAUAAAGGUACAGUGGUAACUUAACAGAUCGAUUUAUAAGAGACUUUGACAUUUCAUUCGAACCCCCAUCCUUAUUCCAAUACACCCACUCCACAAGUACGAUAAGACCUCACCCUCCACAACAAGCCCGCACUAUCUGAUGUAAUAACGCCAGCACACAAGCACCAUUAGCCUGCAGAUUUAGCAAUUGAUUCCAGUGGAGCCGGCUCUUACCGUCAACAUGAGCCCAAAGCUGGUCUCCUUGGCAGGUAAAUCAAAGACUGCGGCUUGUUAUCAGGUUUCAUAUGCAGCUUGAGGAUCAGGGGUAUGUAAUGUAAUAAAACAGGUGCUCGGCGGGAGAGCUCUGAUGGUAUUACUGCUGGUGCGCUGGGUCGGGCGUCAGACUCCCGGGCUCAGAUGCAUAACUUACCCGCAUGCAUGCAUGUAAUAAUAUAGAUGCUGACACACAGAAAUAGACAGGCUACAUGGAUUCUGCAUAGAUGUGUUAGUCGUCGGCAUACAAGCGCAUAAAAGUGGAAAAUCGACAUGUGCUUUCUGUUUCCUCGAAGAGAUAUUUGGUUCGUGAGGAUUUUUAAACUCUGGAGACAAUCAUUCCUCUCUUUAUCAAACUACCCGCUGAAGUACCGCUCAAUCCCACCACCACCACCACCACCACCCCCACCACGACAAAUCCCCCCGGCCGGAAAUCCAAUCCCGCCUCUGUGUGAGCGCAGAGGUACCGUGACGGAUGGCUUGUAAGCAUCCCUCCAUGUUUCAUCAAGCUUUCUUCCCCUCUUUGUCAGGAGGGCCGGAGACUGAAGACUUCCAUGGCGGCGUCUCACCUAAGGGACGCCGCCGUGUUCAAUAAUUCAGCGGCUGUUGCUCCAGUCCUGCAGAGACCACUCAUCAGUGACCGAUGAACAUCCCUAGUGGGGGACCCGAGCUCCAUCCUGAAAAGGUUUUAUUCCUCUCUUUUCAGCGGGCCGCGGCGGACUGUAAAUUCAGCUGCUAAUCACCGCGGUUUUCCCACUCCUCUUUGCUCUUUCUUUUGCAAAAUUGGUGGUUUACUCGCACAGGGGCCUUCACUUAAAAAAAAGUCCAAUCAGGGACCUUGUUGCGGACUUUCUUUGAGUGACAUCUCCAUCUCUUCGCCUCUUAUUAGUUUUGUAGCACAGUUUUCCACCUUUACCUCGCAGCUUCUUUCCUGCUUUGGUUAAUCCCCCUGAAUCACUCCGCCCGGCCUCAGAAGAAGCAGAGGUCUAAUCAGACAAAAUUAAAACAGCAGCGCAGGUGUGCAGGACAGCAUCCUGAGAGGAUACCAGACUUCUUUACUUUAGGAGAACACAGGCCUGUUUUUUAGAGGACAUUUAAGAAGAAACACAUGAGUUUAGAUCACAAAGGUUCAGGGUCCUGGUUCUGUUAAAGUCGUCUUCAUUUCCUGUCGUAGCGGUAUUGCAAGUGCAUACAGAGCAUGCAUCUUUUCUGACACUUUCUGAUCGAAUAUUUACCUUAAAACUGGCUGUUGUGUAAACACUAUAAUCUUUUAAUGUUAUACUUAAAGUUUACCAACUUGUGUGUCGUUAAAAAUGCAGAUUGACGUCAAAUAUAUGAAAAAGUAACGAAGGGUGACAUGAAUUUAAAAAGGUCUGAAAAGCAGAGGGAUGAACAUGCAUGGAAAUUAAAUAUCAGUGUAAUAAAAUUAUGUUUUUAGAGAUAAAAAUGCAUGGAAAUUGAAAUUUGGAGCAUUAAAUUAUGUAAAAGUUAAAUAUUGGAGUUAAGAAUUGGAAAAUCGAUUGAUAAAAGUGCAUUGGGAUUGAAUUUUGGAGGAAAACAUAUAGAAGAUGAAGAUUACAGCAAUUACAGAGUAAAGAAUUGAAGAUUUGAGCGAUGAAAUGUAAUGAAUUUAAAGACCAGAGCGUAAAAAUGCACGAAAAUUUACAGUUGGAUUGAAUAUCUGCAUUAGAAACAAAGAUAUGAGUGAUAAAAAUGCAGAAGAAUUCAAGAAAUGAGUGAUGAAUUGCACAAGAAUUGACAAUUAGAGUGAUGAAAAUGUGUUGGAAUGAAAGACUAGGGGGGCAAAAUGGAUUUAAACUCAGACAUUUGACAAUAAAUGAUGUUUUUACUGAAAUAUUUUGAGGUUGUUUCGACAAAAACAGCUUCAAUAUGAUGGAAAAAGAACAGCAAUAGAUUAUUUUCCUUCUGAAUUCAUCAUGACUCCUUCACAACAACAAAAAUAGUCCUUUAUCAUUGCAGGACAAUCACACAACUACUAAGAGAUUUGGACAGGAGAUGGAACUUUUUUAUUUACCAACUUCAACAAGUUUAACCAAAAAUGCAAAAACUCCUAGAUAUCACUCCUUUGCAGUGCAUCCUUUUCAAAAAGCUGAUAAAACAAUCACAGAAAAGUCCUGCAAAAUUCUGAAAAGAACUGACAAGGUCAUUCCAGUCAUCGUUAGUCCAUUAAAGCAGGUUCACAGAGGGUUGCUUUGAACUUUACUUCCCAGCCCGGUCUGCAGAUUUGGUCCAACAACAAAGAGAUAAUGACCUUCAGCGAUCAGUGAUCUGAUCAGCACGCCUUCUCUGAGAGCUUUUAUGCUGAAAAGUUUCCAGGCCCAACAGUAAGCCAAACUUCAUCCCUCAUCUCUUCUUCCCCCUGAACCCCUGAUGCCUGAUUCUCAAGCUGCAGGAUUUGGUUUUUGUGGGAAACUCGCUGGAGAAGAGAGGGGAAGGCAUAAAAGCCAGCUGACAGACAGACAGAAAGCAGCGGCGGCGGCGGCUGUGGUGAGCGGUGAGACAAAUGGAGGAAGCAGCCAAGCAGGCUGGGAGAAGCAGGACGACAUAAAGGUUGACCAAUUAAUCGUCGCUGGUGGGUUUGGGUCCUCCGGGGCUUCUCCAUGUGAUUCAAAGCGAGUUGGAGGUUAAUGUGCAUCCGUGGAGAGCACAACAGAUAAAACCUCCUCCGCUGGGUACAUCCUGAAAAUCAAUGCUCUGCUCGGCUCGACACGAUUUGAUUCUUCCUCCCUGAGAUGUUUGACUGGCAAGGUGGUCAAAAUUUGUAGUUGGAAAAGUUUUCACCUCGCUCCCACGGCGCCGACAUGGAGCUCACAUUACAUCCAGGACGGGAAUUGCUUGCUGCUUUGCUGCUUUGAGUUAUAUAUAUUUUAUAAGUCUACCGGGUCGUGUUGCAGUCCCCAAGUCUUCAAAAUAGCCACAGUGGGAAUAAUGUUAAUUCUUAAUGAUCAUCUCUUACUUUCCUGCUGCACAUACUCACAUUUUCCCCGGUCGUUGCAACUUCCCAGUGUCCUAAAGGGAAUUCAGACCGCUAUAACUUCUUCCCCCGCUACGUUUAUGUGUGGACUCGCUAACAAGGCCAGUAGCCAGGGAAACAGCCAGCGAGGGAUCCGGGCAGGAGUCCUGGGUGACAUGUUGGUCGGUUUGUUUCAGGCAUCGUUAGCAGAGUCCAGGAAGGGAGGAAGGAAAUAAGGAGGACAUAAAGGAGCCAGGGGAGCAAGGUAGGAGUGAGGGAGACGACUCUUGAAUGACCAUAAUUUAAUAGGUGGCAACAAACCUGAGGUGUACCAGCAAUAAUGAGCCUAAUGAACAUGGUAUAUCGUAGAUUCAAAUCAUGGUUAUGUGCUGUUAAUGUCUUCCCUGUAGACCCCUGCUGAAAGCUAGAAAGUUCCUCGAGUUCUUGGAGAACCACCAAAGAGAAAAGCCUCCAAACGAACGGACCGAUGUGAAAACAGAUAAGAGGGGAAAAGCAGCAAAAGUGGCGUGAAUAGUUAUACCAAAAAGUCCAAUAAUAACAAAUUCUUAACAAACUUAAACCUUCAAAACUUUAAUCAAUAGGAGAAGUCGCAGAAAUUCAAAGUUUCAAUCUUGAAAAGGUUCCUCUACUUGUCAGUCCUUCAACGAUUGUCAAAGUAGUGCAUCUGCUGCAUAAGCCUGACUGAAGAUAGACUUUAAAGUUCUUGUUAACUUGUUCGUCAGACUAAAAUUGCUCAAUUUUGGAGGAAAACGUAUGACAGAUGAAGAUUAAAGUGAUGACAAAGCAUAGAGUUGAAGAUCUGAGUGAGGAAAUGCGUUAGAAACAAAGAUCUGAGUAAUAAAAAUGCAGAAGAAUUGAAGAAAUUGGUGAUGAAUGGCAUAAGAAUUGACAAUUGGAGCGAUAUAAAUGUGUUGGAAUUAAAGACUAGGGGGCCAAAAUGGAUUGAAUCUAAGAAAUUUUACAAUACAUGAUGUUUUUACUGAAAUAUUUUGAGGUUGUUUCGACAAAAUCUAUUCAAUUUGAUGGGAAAAGAACAACAAUAGAUUAUUUUCCUUCUGAAUUCAUCAUGACUCCUUCACAACAACAAAAAACGUCUUUGAUCAUUGCAGGACAAUCACACAAUUACUAAGAGAUUUCAACAGGAGAAAAAAAAUUUCCAACUUCAAGUUUAACCAGAAAUGAUACGUCUUUGUGAGGCAAAUUUACAUAAAUCUAACCUGUCAACCAACUUCAGAAAUAUUUUUACCAAACUGAAGCAAAAACUCCUGAAGUUGGAGUUCACUGUGUCUUCUCACUUCCUUCUGAAGGCAGCGGUGUGACCGUUCAAACGUGUCGUGAAACUGGCCUAAGCGUUCUGCACAUGCUCAAGAGUUUCUCCUAGAAGUUGAAUUGAGUUAACAUGUUGCUAGGAAGUGAGACAGUGUGCUCAGACUUGACAGAAGAUGACCAACCCUUAGCUACUUGUGAACACCUUGCAACCCUGUUGAGACAAAGUUAAUUUUGAGCGUUUUUCAGGUCAGAUCGAGUGUCUUUUACAUGCUUCUAACUCAGUAAGUCCACCUGACACAAACUCAGAACUUCUGUACAAAACUGCAGACAUUUAAAGGAUUUCAUACACUUCGCCAGACAGCCGCCAAAAAGAGGAUAUGUCCAGGGAGAAAAGGACGUGUGGGGUCAUAUUGCCAACUACUGUAAUUGAGGCAAACAUGCUUCUCUUAAUAAUUUGGUUCUUGUCCAGUGCACAUAAACCAGGACUAGAAAAGAGGUCUUGGGCACCAAAUUGCUGGUUCGCCAGAAGAGUUAGUUACCUUACUUUUAUUUGUGUUUUAGAAUUUAUUUUACCGUUAUUUAGCCAGGUUGGUCCCAUAGUGAUCAACAUUUUCAGUAGGGGACUUUACUGAGGCAGCUGCAAAAACAGGAGAACCAAAGUGCAAUUCACAGGCAGCAAAUAUGCAAUAAAUUGGGGAAACCACUAGUAAACCAAAAGCUUUCCUCUGAAUUUCUGUUUAAAUUUUGGGACGGCAAAAAGAAAACAAGUUUGAGAAAUCCAAGACUUUUCAUCGACACAUUAUGUAGAGUUACUCGCACUCAUUCUGUUCAGCUCAAGUUGAGAAUACAUCUUUUUUUUUACUGGACAGCACUGAGGGCUACAGCCAAUUCAUAUGUCUGCUGCAACGCCUGAGCAGCCCGACCAUAGCCUCACACUCGGGAGUCAGAAACAGGCUUUGUUUUCGCAUUACUGGCCCGAAAAAGGUUUGCAACCCAUGUCAGGCACUCGCCCCGAACAAUGCGAGUCACAACUGCACACGCAUGAUAACCAUUUCCACUGCUUUGUUCUCUCUCAGCUGCCAAUCUCCCUCUGUAGAUAUAUAGGAAACACAUAAAGCGCAUGAAACACACGCGUACACGCUCGCGCCGGGGCUCUUUUCUCUCCGGUCCGGCAGUGUUUUCUCAGUAGAGAGCAGAGGAAACAGCAUGAUCUAAAUAGCUCAUUAACUUUUGAUGACUGGGUCCUUUGGCUGUAGAUCUUGAAAGCUAACGGGAGCCAGACUCCUUAUGGCUAUUGAUUCUGCAACAACCCCCCCUCUGCACAUCCCGAGGAGGGCUACUAGGACUCCAAAUUAUUCAUGCCAGGAUCUGUGCAUUCGUUAAAGACUGAUUGGGACAAUGUGUGUCCUGCACAGACCACAUUAGUCACAUCCACACAUGGUGCCAUCCCGAAUUAUUAAAGCGAUCUCAGCGAGAGUCAUAUACAUACAGUGAAGUAUGCCGACAAAUUUAAAGCUAACAUUAACACGAUUAUUGAUCCUGACAUUAUUUGUAGGCCCAUUAAAGACUUAAUAGCAAUCCUUUUUUCAUUGGUCCUAAACCUUUUUGGAUCAUGACCCUUUUGGAUAAAGUAAUGUCUACUUAUUAUUGCCUGUAUGGCUCACCACAGAGCGAUUCCCACUUUUCACCCUUAGAUUUUCAGGGUAUAUUGAAUCAAAACUGGCCUGGGAAGAGUCAAAGGAGUCCGGUUUUGGUCCAAACGAACCUUCGAUUUAUCCAUCAAUGGAUUCUGGCUUCAUGUCGUUUGUGCUUUUGCAUUUGUUGUGCAUCCUUCCAGUGACCUCGCUUCCUGAUCUCAACCAUCCUUGGGGAUCAUAACGGUAUCUUACUGUAAAUAUCAAACAUGUUGCCCCCAAUUUACCACCGCAACUAGAACGGCUACAAAAAGGCUGUAUCUGCCGAUCGUAACCAUUCAAGUUAAUGUGUCAAUUUCCACCGGCUUCUUUCCGUUCCAGUGCGGAUCGACGCCAGAGCAUGCUGGAUAAAUUCAGUACAGAUUAACCCGGAAGUCGGGCACAGACACAAAAUAAAACAUCCAACUUCUUUUCAAAAUAAAACACUCCAUGUUCCAGGUGGAUCGUAUUUCACACCAUGCAAAUGGGCGGGGACAAACAAGUAAAAGUGUUAUAGAUGUCAUUUCCCCUCGAUGACACCAUGGAUGAGGAGAUGCUGAUUCUAGAAGUCUAGACAUAGAUUUCGUCCUCUAGAAGGACACAAUCUACUGCUUGUAGGGUUAGCCUAUGUGUCUAAAGACAACUUGUUAUCGCGCAAUUGCACGUGAAUCGGCGGGGUCUUGUGAGUUCUUGCGAUUCCGGCUGUCCGUAAAUUUGCCUCACAAACAGAUCUGGUAGGAAUUGGCGUACGGCGAAAAUCAAUGCCAUUCCAGAUGCGGUGGAAAUCCCGGGUAAGUCAUUUAGGGUGGACCCCAAUAUUGCCGUAACCAUCAUCAAGAAUACUUCUAUUGCCAAUAAUUCCAGUUCCAAACACAGAUUAUAAUCCCCUGUAAUCACCCCGAAUCCGCCGUCAGCCUAUCUUGAAACCUGGAGGUUCUUUGUCGCAGCAGCUGUUGUAUUUCCUGCUGCUUCAUUUGACUUGAGCCGGUCCACGUCUUCUGGAGUCCAAACUAUCUGGCACGGAAACCCCCUCCAGCCGCCGUCCCGACAAUCAGCUCAAUGUUGGGGUUAUUUGCAUGGCGGACGGAGAAGAGGGGGGAGCUAAUGCUUUUGUUGAAAUACCAAACGGAAGUGGUGUAUGUAAAUUUGGAUUAAGCGGAUAAGGCCGCCGUCAGCUUCAAUAACUAUUGUUGCCAUUGUGUGUAUGUGUGUGUGUGUGUGUGUGUGUGUGUGUGUGUGUGUGUUUGCAUGUGUGUUAACCAAUGGCUUUAGGCUGCAGAAAUGCAUAUAAAUGAGCUCUUUACCUGCAUCUACCACUUCAAUUAAAGGCUGCACUUAAGCAAGCUCAUAACUGUGCGUUUUCAUCGCAGGGGGGGGAAGGUGUGUUGGGCGAGCAUAUGUCGAUACACGCUUGAGGGGAGGAGGAGCAAUCUGCACUUUUAAUCGCACCUUGAACUGCUCGAUGACUGCGCCCCGACAGGGGGUACGUGUCGGACGGUGAUAGUGCCGCUCUAUGACUCAACCUAUAUCCGGUGUUGCGUUUUCCAAGCAUCACGUUCCGCGGGGUCGCUGGGGGGGGGGAGAAAGAACGAGGCACCGAGGAAAGCGCUGAUAAGGCGCUGAGCUGGUGGUGUAGAGGGUCAGUGCGGUGGAGAGAUAGGGCGGCUAUACGGCGAAAAGGAAGCCGAGCGUGACCACUUUUCUUACUCUUUCACUCAUCCGCCUUUCCCCUAACCCUCCGGUCAUCCUCAAUAUGGUCUUGUUAUCUCACGCAGCACUGAUGUCCGCCGCGUGUGUGGCUCGUGUGUGUAUCCGCGCGCCUAUUUGUGUAUGAAUGCGUGCAAACCGGCCUUCCCUUUUAUCAUCCCUGUGUGCAAUUCCCCUAAACAUCAUUUCAGCCACAAUUUAGGGUCUGCAACAGCGAGCCGAGCCGCCUUUUCAGCAGGAACAAAAAAAGCGAGGAUGAGACGAGGUAAAGCCCCUGCAUCGAUUUUAUACCCACUCCUCGGCUGCAGCUGUCCUUGAAUAUAAAUGACGCCGUUUCAACCCACUCCUCUCUGCAGGGCUCCCAGAAUUCUUUAUGGCUAUCACAGAGAGGAUCUCCCUCAUUUUCCAAGCUUGCCCAAACCUGCUCCUAACCAGGAGGAUAGACUUCGACAUCUGCCUCAUCACCGAGACUCAUUUUGACGCCCAAGAGGGAGGCAAACUAAGAGAGAGAAUUUGAUCUCCACCCGUCUCUAGGAGCGAGUCCUCUAAUCUUUCCCCCGCCAAUCCAACGGGGCAGGGACACUUACUGUACAUCUCACUCAUCUCCAGUGGCGGCUUUGAUUCUCUCGCUCCUCUCUGCUGAUUUCGCAUAAUCACACGGUAAUGAGGUUGGCUGCGGUGCGCCGGCGUGGCCCCGGUGCGCGGCUAGCUUGUGCUUACAUGUUAAAGGGGUGCACGGUUUUAGUUAAGAGGGAAAGAGGAGGAGUAGGAGCUGGAAAGAGGAGGAAAAGAGGGUCUAGGAGCCCCCUACUUUGAGUGCACAUUCGUUGGAAACACAAUUACACAGGCGCACAGAGGCAUACCGGCUUCACAAUGAUUUCUCCAUUCUCCAGCCGGUGGAGCGGCUAAUUUCCUUAGCAGCUAAGUACUUAUAGAUUGCUCAGUAACAGAAGCUCGCGACAAAAGAGCCGAGCUCAACGGACGAGGGCAAUGUAUCGCAUGAUUGUUUCCACCUCAUAUCUGCCAUAAAGUGGAGCUUGUUCUCGUACAGGAGCCACAUUACCAAGUUACACACUCGGUGGGUAAACAACCUGGCUGGGGGCUUGAUUUUCUAAAGAAAAGGUGUGUUUUCUCUGCUACCUGAGCAGAAUACAGGCGGAGGGAGUGAUGACAGCAGCGUCCUAAGAGAACAUGUAAAGGGAUUGUGUUUUGCAUUAACAAUGAGAGGACUGGUUACAGCUCAAAAGUCAGUGAGGAAACUAUCUGGUUUUACUUCAUCUUCCAAAAAGAACCCAAACAACAACAAAAGUGAAACAACAAACGCAAUAAAAACCCAAACUUGUCAGAGCUAAAUAACAAAAGGAACGAAACAGGAAGAGACCCAAAUAAAGUUAGAAACUAAAACUAAACUAAAAUGACGAUUAAGUUAGAACCCAAACAGCAAAUUAACUCAUUUAAAGAAAGAGAACCCUGCAGAAUCUUAACCCAAAGUACAAUCAGAACCAAAACAACAAAAAUACUGGAACCAGAAGGGUUUGAACCCAACCAGAAAAAAGGGUAGAACCCAAUAAAUAAACGGAUUAAAAUCCAAAGAAAAUGAGAACCCAAACAACAAAAACCCAAUCAGCAUAAGAACCAAAACAUUUUGGGGACUAAAACAACAUCAGAACUCCAAACAUCUUGAGAACCAAACCAACAAAAAUACUGGAACAAAAAAAGUGUGAAACCAACUGUAAAACCAGAAAAAAGCAGAAUCUUAUACAUUAAAAAAAUCCAAACAACAUCAAAACCCAAACUACAAAAACCCAAACAACACCAGAACACCAAAAUCAUAAGAACCCAAACAACAAAAACCUAAUUAGCAUCAGAACCCAAACAUCAUGAGAACCCAAACAACAUCUGAACCAAAACAACAUCUGAACCCAAGCAACAUCAGAACCUUAAUAACAUCCGAACCCCCGAAAUUAUAAGAACCCAAACAACAUCUGAACCCAAAAAGCAUCUGAAACCAAACAUCAUAAGAACCUAAACAACAUCAGAACCCCAAAAUUACAAGAACCCAAACAACAAAGACCUAUUAAGCAUCAGAACCUUAACAUCAUAAGAACCUUAACAGCACAAGAACCCCAACAACAAAAACCUAAUAAGCCCAAAAACUCAAACAACAAAAACCCAAACACCAUCUGAGCCUUAACACCAUCAGAACCCCCAACUCAUAAGAACCAAAACAACAAGAAAUCCAGCUCUGCACAAAUCCUCAAACCUCACACCAACCCUGCUGUUAAGGAACCUCAAACCCACACAGCAACAGAACCCGACACCAACAAAGACCAUAACGCCAAAAUAAAGACUGCAAAGUCAGAACCCAAACAACACAAGAUUUACAUAAACACGAUUUCCCAUGUUUAUCACAAUAAAGGAGCAUGUCACCAUUUUUUGACAAACAUUACAAUAUCAGUCUAGUCUUUUCUGAGUUACACAUCUAUGACACUCACAUCUAUGUUAAAUAAAUCUGAAAAUACAACUGUUAUUGUUUCAUAAUACGUCCCCAGGUAUCGCCUAAACAAGUAUUACCUUAACACCAGCAUUUAUUAAGUCAGUGUCUCGUUUUCCAGACGACGGCUCUCUUAUUUCAUUAACUUCACUUCAGAUCAGUAAGAAUAGCGACAUCGGAGUCUGUGGAGCAGCUCUGUGGUUUUUGUGUGCAUCUCCCGUAACAUCACAAGUGCCAGGCGUCCCGCUGAGAGUGGACACGAGGUGACGGACCGCUGCGAGCUACUGUCAAACUCCGCGGGGGGUGUCGUUUACCCAUCAUGCAGUGUUGUGGAAAGCGAGGCAUCACCAGUCGUGUCAUUAACCCUUUACAUGUGGCUGCGUCUCAGCGAGAAGAUAUCGAGCUGAAUACAUUUUCUCUCCUCCAAAGAAGCCGCAGCUGUCAAUUAGCUUUAAUGGUUUAUGGCAUUUUCAGUUUGUUAGUUUCUUCUCCUGUUGAUACAAAGGAGGUGGCGGUGAACGUUUCAUUUAACAAGACCGGAUCAGAACCAUUUCUGGGCCGUGUAUCAGGAACAAGAUUCAUGUGGUCGUAUUAAUGUAAUUCUAAGUCAAAUUUUAGGAACUGUACAGUGGAAAAAAUCUUUUUAAACUGCCAGUUUUAACGCAUAUGUACUAAAAACUGAAAAAAUUUGAGAUUAGUUCAACAUUUUAUUAUCAUACAAAGUAAAUAACAAAGCAAAUUGUUAUUUACUAUAUACAUAAAUACUAAAUAAUACAGUGAACUAGUUUAUAUUCCUGAGUGUUUUACAGGUAUGCAAGACCCAAAAUAAACAAAUCGCCCCCUCAGAGAUGAUGAAGAUGCCUUAAAAUCUAAACAUGAGAUGAUUUAAACGUAGAUGAUAGGAUUGAUUGCUUUGGUCUGCUGGCUGCACCGCUAGUUGAAGUUAAACUCAGGCUGUGCAGACUCCGCUCACAUUUUCAUGAUUUCCGCAUAAUCACUCGGGAAGUUCUUCUUUAAAUAAUUAAACAGAUUUGUUGUGUUGCCGUUUUUUGAGGGCACCAACUGCUGACAUACCUUACACAUCGGCUUUAAUGCUCGGUGUCACUUUGGAGAUACCCGAACCACCGGCCAGAGGCUGACAUCUUUUUUUGCUGCUUCAGCUCCGCGUUUAGCUCCACAUUCGGACAUUCUGUUUACUUCUCUGGCAACUUUAGCGGGGUACACACAUAAAGAUAAUCGGGCUGUUUUUGUCCCGAUUUUUUCCCUCCCGACCAAGGACUACAAUCGGAAGAUUAUCUUAUGUCUUCUAAGAUUAUCCUAUAAGAUUAUCCUCUGGUCUGAGGUGUAUUAAGAUUGAAUUUGUCCCGAUAAUUGGGUCCAAAACGGGUCGGAGCCAACAAUUGUAAAUAUUAAACUUGUUCAAUAUUUACAACCAAAAAUCUUCACGUGUGGGAGAAGCCGACGACUCCCGAGUUAUGACUCUGUGAAUUGUCACGUGAAACGGAUUGCAACCAAUCAAGAAGCGAGCUGACUGAGUAACAAGGAACCAAAUAAAGCGAUCAUCACAUAAUAUAAUAUAAUAAUAAUAAUCACAGCAGCAAUUAGCUUAAUUUGAGAACAACUCACCUUAGUUCGCUUAGUAGACUUUAAAGUCCACGUUCACGCUGUCCUCAGGAUUUUUCCACGGUCUUUUCUUUUUUUCUGUCAAAAAUACUCCCAAAACCACCAUCAUUCCCUCCUCUUGUGUGUCCUCUUCCAUGUUGCGUCUUGUGUUUCCCGGUUGUGGGGUCUGUAACAGAUAAAAAAUCUCCUAAGAUUUAAAAAAUCCUUAUGUGUGUACCCCGCUUUAGACAGCUCCUUGGUCUUGGUAGAGAAGUUGGAGUCUGAUUGACUGACUGAGAGUGUGAACAGGUGUCUUUAAUACAGCUAACGAGUUCAAACAGGUGCUGCUGAUACAGGUAACGAGUUCAAACAGGUGCAGCUGAUCCAGGUAACGAAUGGAGAGUUGGAGGGCCUUCUAAUGACAACCUAACAGAUUUGUGAGAGCUAAAAUUCUGAAAGGUUGGGAGGUGAUCGAAUAUUAAUUUACUGCAAUAAAAUGCAAAUUAAUAAUUUAAAAAUCAAACAUGGAUUUUUCUAGAUUCCUUCUUUUUUUGUUUAUUUUUAUACAAUACUCAUUUACCCCAACGUAGAUAUACGAUGCCCCUCAUACGACACACACAUACAUACAUACAGUCCAACCUAACCCACUGACCUGCUUUCUCUUUAAAGCAGAUGCCCAUGAUGUCCUCUGUUCCUUCUUCUCCACACACACACACUCACACACACUCAGAUGAGGGGGUGAAGAGCGGAGAGGUCUUGUGGGUGCUCAUCACAUGCACUUGACAGAAGCAGCGCUCUUGGCAAGAAGGAGCUACAUGAUAUAUGAAGAUGGCCACUUUGAGCCCACCAUCACACACACACACUCACACACACACUCACACACACACACUGCUCAUCAGCCCCCUGCCCUCGAACCAGCUCUUGAGACGCUGAUGGUGACAUAUAUGGAACACAUACAGACUCAAGCCUCUUAAAUAUUCAUCACUCGUCUGUGUACAUCGCGGUUUGCAUCACAGACAGUAUGUGUGCGUGUGCAUGUGCAUGUGUGUUUGUGCGUCCAUACAUUUGCAGACAGAUGUCAGUCUGGGCUUGUGGGACUGACUGCGGAUCAGUACAGGACUGUGUGCUUCUGAGCAGCUGUUUAUCUCUAUUGUCCCACAUUUCAACUGUGCAUUGAAACAAACAUCACUCCUACGGAAAUCUGAUUUUUAGCAAACUCUGGAUUUUUACGCUGACAGCUUGUUUGAACACGUUCGAGAAAUGUUGAUAUUAGAUGGAGAAUAACAGGAGGAUGUAAAAAAGACAGAUUGUUACACCAGUUUAAGUAUUUAGAGCCGUCUGAGGUGCUUUUUGCAUGAUUUAUAUCCACCACACAUACUCACUCAAUGCAGAUAUGCAAUAUUGAAGCGACAUUUUUACUUAUGUGACACUUCUUAGUCGAACUGACGACAUAUUUUUAUUAUUGGGAGUUAGAAUAACAGAAAAAGCAAAGUAAUGCAUCGUCUACAAGAGCAGCCCUGUAGGAGAAAGUCUUUUUUUAAAACCUCAAAAAAGUUGUUUGUGAUACUUUUAAUUUGAAAUUACUUUCAAUGUAUGAAUUAAGUAUAAUAAAUUUUAAAAAUAAUAAUAAUAAAAUAAAUAAAUGAAAUAACGAUAUUAAAAUAAACAAAAUAAAACAAAUAAAUGGAAUAACUAUAUUAAAAAAACAAAAUCAAAUAAAUAAUAAUAAUAAUAAUAAUCAUAAAAUAGAUAAAUGACAUAACUAUAUUAAAAUAAACAAAAUCAAAUAAAUAAUAAUAAUAAUGAUAAUAAUAAUAAUAAUAAUAGUAGUAAAAUAAACAAAAUUAAAUUGAUAAUAAUAAUAAUAAUAAUAAUAAAUAUAAAUAAAUAAACAAAUAAAUAAAAAAUAAUAAUAAUAAAAUAAAUACAGAAAACAAUAUUAAAAUAAACUAAAUAAAAUUGAUAAUAAUAAUUAUAAUAAAGAAGAAUAAAUAAAUAAAGUAUAUUAAUAAAUUAAUAUGUCAAUAAAAAUAUCUAUCAAUAAAGUUAUUCUUAUCUUUAUUCUUGCAAAAAUGAACUUUACUUUUUUGAAAAUAUGCUUGUUUAUUUUGAAAUGAUGUCUAUUCAACUUCCUGUAGUGAUAACAACUGACUUUAACCUUGUAAAAAACUGCAAGAAGAAACAAAGAAAAUGAGAAAAACCAUAAACGGGUUUCUUAAAGAGGAACAAUCGCCAUACAUUCAAGCUAAUGUGCUUUCUAAGUCCUUAGAUUACCCACGAGUGGCCUUUAUGGUCCUAUAUCCGCUCUGUUUUCAGCCCUCUUGAGAACACGCUAUAUGCUGUAGUGGCGAACUCGCCGCCAUCACAGUGACCCAUCGCUGUUUGGAGGGUAUCCCACAGGCUUGGAGUAAUUUAACACGUUUUUUCGACCCAAAGAGACCACAACAAAACAGCUGAUGACUUUGGAUAUUAAAGCCCUGACGAUAACUCGCGCUCUUCUCAAAAUGACCUUUGGGUCUGUCCGGGGUCUUUACGAGACGCCGUUUUAAUGAAAGCCCUCGCCACACGGUCUAUCUCCGAGCUGUAAUGUAUAGUCGAGUGUCGGGGCCUAUUUGCCGUCAUAACACUUGAAUCUAAUCAGAGGAUAGGCCACUUUUUAGAGUGUUUGGAGAAACCACUUGUGCCCACAGGCAAUCAACACCUCAUCAGAGGCCCCCCUCUCGUGUGGAGAGAAGGGGGCACGAGGCCUGGCGGUGAAGAGCACAAUUUUACCUCCUUGUCUUUUUCACCUCUUUCUUCUCUCGCUGUACCCUUUGUUGUGCUCCUCAUCCCUCCAGUGCAGAUUCCUCGCUCCUUUUCUGAGUCUUUUCCUUUUCUCUCGCAGAUUCACGCCAACAAAGCUGGAAAUCGCCGCUCUACUUUAUGUUUUCCAAGACUAGACGUAGUCCUGGUAUUUGGAUGCGACCCUGCAGGAACAGGAAGCCUGAUUGAGAGACUCUUGAUGCAGUCCCAGCUCCACAGUUGUGGGAUGAACACUUAGCCGAGCUCUACUGGGAGAGAGAAAACACUGAACAAGCCGGGCUCAGACUCCACGCCUGCACCGGGAAUUAUCUAAGCGUUCCCCCCAUUGUCACUGAGCGCCAGCGAGUAUCUCCACCCCGCCACAUUGAUCUGCUUCUGAGACAUAACAGAGGGAACGUAUGAUGUCUGUUCCCCGUGAAAACUCUUCCACCUGUUUCCCCCCGUCAAGAGAGACAGACAGCAAGAACGCGGGGGAGAGAGAGAGGGUAAGAUAGAGAAGAAAGGCGACGUAAUACACACAGAUGCAGACACACUAAUGAUGUUGUCAGACAGCUCUCGAGUCUUUGAACGCGCUCCCAGUUGUGUCUGCGGGUGCGCACACUUGUGGACGAACACAUCGCCGUAUUAGACAGGCGCUCCAUCACUGUCAGGCGGCAAAUUUGGAGGGAGAGGCGGUUUCCUGCAGUUGCAACAAAUCUCAAAAAGCCCUUUUGUGGCUGUCAGUCUGCGAGUCUUUCAUUUUGACGGGGGGGAGAACCAACAACAUCAGACUUAACAGCGCGCUUUUCAUCUUCAGGGGAAUAAAGGAAGACAAACAAACCGGUUAUGUUCUCCUCUGUCUCUACGGCCCGAUAUUUCACCAGAACGCUUGCAACAUUUGAGUAGAGAUACCUGCUUUUUGGAUCAAGUGGGACUAUCAAGCUCAUUCUCGCCUCUAAAGUGGCGCUUAGUGGUCAUUAAACCAUAUCAUCCUGCAUCAUUUCUUGCUUUUCAACCCAAAGAGUGGAAAAUUCCAGCGUUUACGAGCUGCAAACAGUAUUUUCCUGUUGAGCAGAACUCUGCACCGACAUGCGCCCGCUAAUGUUAUUCAUGGCCUCCCUGACUGACACAUUAAUCAAAAGGCGCAAUCUACUUUUGUCUGACAUGAUCAAGUGCACGGCUCUUUGUGUCAAAUGCCCCGACCGGUUAAUGUAGAUUUUAUAGUUUGGUAGUCGCACUCAUGACGGGGACGAGUAAACACAGGAUCAGUCAUGGAGAUGGCGUGCGGCUCAUGCAUGUGUGCGAACAAAUGCAGGCGGAUGCAUGAACACUCCAAACAAUUGAUUCACGAUGACGAGCCACUUCAGUCUCAGUCUUUGCAGCCACAGUUAGCAUAACUAUCAAAAUAGUCGACCGAUUUAUUCCACACAGAACCCCAAUGGAUGGCGGACUCAUUGGGCAAACCACAAGCUGCCAUAUUGGAUGGUUUUUUGUUGUUUUUUUAUGGCGCAACUUUGAAUGUAGAAGUGUUUUUUCUUUUGCGUUUAAAGGUGGGGUAGGAAGGAUCUGAGGAAGAGCCAGUUUUUGGGCGAAAUCUUGAAUGUAAACUCUACCGCUCCGAACCAGUUUCCCCUCUGUCUCUGCUCCAGCAAGCCCCGCCCACAAACAGACGCUCCUGCUCGCUCUUGUUGUUCCAAUUAAAUUCAGAUAUAAUGCAGAUAAAUACUUCAGAUAGUUACAAAUGGGGCCCAGUCAAACGUGAAAGUCAAAAGCAUUGGUGCUACUGUAGAUGCCAACAGACUACCAGCAAACACAAUGUUUGCAGGACUUCUACAACGAGGAUAAAGUGACAUAGUCCAGGACCCGAGGGAGGACAGUUUAGCGAUGGCGCUACAACACGCUACAGCAGGUCCGUUUGACAAGAAACACUUCUGUUACAGACACUUGUCUUACUUUGUUAAAGCGGUUUACCUGUCCAGCAGAAAGGUUACAGGGUCACCAAGAUCCCGAAGCGUCCCCCAUUAUUUAUGCUGAUGUUGACCUGGCUUCUUAGCUCUUGUCCGAACCUUACUAGUUAGCAAGUGAGGCAAAAAAAACACUCACUUGUGUUACCGUUUUGCUUGUAGCUAAUACUAGUGAGUUAGCACGGUUUGAAAUUCUAACUAGCUAAGAUCAAAACAUCUUUGCUAGUGUUACAGACGGUGUCACAGUGUGUUAGCUAGAGUAACUAAAGUUCAGUAAUGUAGUAAUGUUAAGGUUCCAUAAGAUCCCGAAGAGUCCCCCAUCAUUGUUGACCCGGCUUUUUCUACCGUCCGAUAUUGCAGCACGCUAACUUUGAUGGGAUCGUGAACGUUAUUCAAGGACGUGGACCGUGCCUCACAACCAAUCAGGUUGGAGGCGGAGCAGGUCGCUCAAAAAUUUAAAAUGUUGACUACACAGACAAAAAAAAAAAAACAGCGAUAUCGUUAUACUCCCAAAUGUCAUCAACAACUAAUAGCUAUUGACUGAUAUUAAAAGCUUUUUUGUAUAAACACCACAAAAAAAGAUGCUUCUCUAACGGAAUCCUGUCGACCCCACCUUUAAUCAAAGAGCUUUUAGCCAGUAACACGUCUACCUCAGGCACAUCAAAUAAGUGACUAAAAAGACAGGAAGUAGCACCUUUGUGGAGCUUCGCUCUAAGCAGCGGUUCAGCAGGUGAUGCCACGCCGCCGAGUAAAACUGUGAUACAAAACAGUCGUGAUGUGAACCGCCAUCACCGACCUCGCUCGUCACGCUCGCCACUGCUUCCCCCGCCUCCCCCAACUUGAGAGACAAUUCCUCUGUUCCUUAAUGAUGUCUGUGUGGGAGGGGCUUUUUUUUCACACCAUCAAAGACAAGACACUCAAAGGCGAGUAUAAGCAAUGACUUAAUCAUUGCGCCAGCGCUUUGAAUCUACCUCUCUCGCCCUCUCUCUCCCCCUCUCUCUCUUUUACUGACACACACACUUCUUCUCUCCUUCUGUGUAACUUCGCUAGAGGCAGCGGCAUGGCACCUUCUCGCUUUCUUUAGAACAUUCUGGCACUAAUCAGUGGAACCCUGUCCUCGCCCGGUGCACGGCGGCGGCGGCGGGAGGGGGUGUGUGGGGCAUGAAUAAGGCACCGACGUCAGCCAUGUUCUCCUUUUUCUAUCACCCCUUCAAAAAAAAAGAAAAAGAAACCCACUCCCCUUCACUUCUCCUCCUCCCCCCUGAGCCUUGGGUGAGUCUUUCUGGAGACAGCACCCUCUCCUUUUUGAUGUUUGACAACCGAGAGAGAGAGGGGGGAGGGGUUAGGGGAGGUGGGGAGCACCUUUCAUCCAACGGAUGCUAUCCUAAAGGAAAAGACUGUGUGUGUGUGUGUGUGUGUGAGUCUGCAGGUGCAUAUUGAGGGAUUUUGGGCUGUGCAGGGUCGAAGCAUCUGCAAAAUUGUGCGAAAAAUACUCUUUGAACAACAGGUUCAAGGAGGGAGGUGUUAUCUUACAGGGUCAUUAAUCCAAGUCUGAAAAAUAGUGAGUCAUUUUGUUGCAAAAACCCUCCAAAAACUAGACUUUGAAGGGAUAUUCCGGUGUAAAAUUAAUUAAGGGUCAAACACACCGCAACACCGAGUUAGAUAACCCCUCGAGAGAUGAAUGUUGCCGAUCGCUUGCUUCUCUAGUUAUACCAACUUUAGUAACAACCACAGGAUAGCAAUACACAGCGGUCUGAGGAGCCAAAAACAAACCUCAAUCAAAACGCCACUUUAUAGCCACAAAUAAUGCUCAGAACAGCACCUAACUUCAUCAACAGUACAUAUAGGGUCCCAGCCACAGCACUAGCCACCAAACAUCUUUUUAACUUUGCGUAAUUUCUUUAGCAAAGAGACUAAACACAACUCACCUACUCUCUUCCAGCAGCCGCUUGUUUGUAGCAAGACCUCAGGCCAGUCCAUUACGGACUACUGUGGGGUGACGCAGCUCAAGGAAGAACAUUUGUGAUCAUUUCUUCAUGAAAAUACAAUCAGACCGAGAGGCUAAGACAGAAGAACGACCGCGUCUGCAGUGCAAAAUGAUUAAUAUGGUGAUUAUUACUUCAAGGAAAUGAUCAAGAAAUGAUUAUUAACGCUCUUUCUUGAGCUGCGGCACCCCAGUCGACGGACUCGCCUGAGGUCUCGCUACAAACAAGCGGCUGUUGGAAGAGAGUAGGUGAGUUGUGUUUAGUCUCUCUGCUAAAGAAAUCAGGCAAAGCUAAAAAGAUGUUUGGUGGCUAGGACUAUGGCUAGGACCCUAUAUGUCCUGUUGAUGAAGUUAGGUGCUGUUCUGAGCAUUAUUUGUGGCUAUAAAGUGGCGUUUUGAUUGAGGUUUGUUUUUGGCUCCUCAGACCGCUGUGUAUUGCUAUCCUGCGGUCGUUACUAAAGUUGGUAUAACUACAGAAGCAAGCGGUCGGCAACAUUCAUCUCUCGAGGGGGUGUCUAACUCAGAGUUGCAGUGUGUUUGACCCUAAAUUUAUUUUACACGAGAAUAUCCCUUUAUAAAUCCUUCUGCUCAGCUUUGUAAGGCAUCAUUUGCUGUUUGAGCAGCAAAAACGAAUCAGCUCAGGAGAUGGCGAUGACCUUAAGGUGGACUCUUCACUUUGGAUACAAAAGUUGGAUCUCGAAAGGAGAGUUUGUUUGAAAUCUCCUCGCAGACUUUUUCAGGGGGUCCUUGGUGCGAACUUCCAGACAGAGGAAGUCUGAGCUGUAAUGAGCUGUUAAAACUCAUAAUAAUACAGUAUACCAUUGCUUGCCAGCUAAGGGUGCUAACUGAAAGUACAAAGUCUACGUAGAGCAGUACAUCACUCUAUCAUCUGCGUAAAGAGUGAAAGUUGCUCAGGAGAUGUCUUGAUUGAUACCAUUUAAAUAAAGAAUAAACUUCAGUGGUUCCAAAUGGUCGGCGUAACCUGAUCAUUGCAUGCACUCUUGACCUCGGUAAGCUAACGCAGUGAUGCUAUUCUACAUAAAUAUGAGGGAAAAUCCUGCUCAGAUCAAGAUAUGAACGUGUGUUUGGAGUUACAGGUGAGCGCCGAACUGACUUUGAAGAAUAAGAAAGGGAAGACAACUGCAGAACAACAUGACGAGCUAAGAGGGGAGGAAAGUGUACUGUCAGGAAACGCACAGUAAAAGAAGAAGAAGAAGAAGACAGCAUGUAUAUAAAGUGACUUGAAGACUCCAUUACCUCGGCCCGAUCCGGGCAUAAUGAUCUGCUCACAGUGCCGGCAGUGAGGGGGAGGUGAUCGCUCUAUUCACAGCUCAGGAAAGAGAAGAGGAAGAAAAAAAAAACACAGAGAAUAGUCAGAAUGUGACAGCCGAGCAGCAACCUUGAAACCUUAGGUGGGCGAGCGAGGAGCCUGAGGGGGCUUUAUGUUAGUGAGCGAGAGAGCGAGGGGGGGAGAUCAUAGGCCGUUUGCUGCACAAUGACAAGUGCCUCCACGCGGGGACAAGGACACAUGUGACUUUCUUUUUCUCUCCUGUGUGAAAAGGACAUGGACUGUGUCUUCACUGCGCACAGAGCAGAGAUAAGAGAGGUUCUGACGUUCGUUACUGCAGAUUUCCAUCUAAGAGUGUGACGCACGUGGAUAAGCAAGGCUGUACAUGCUGUAUUUACAGUAAGCACAUUCUUUACAAACACAACAGGACAGUUUUUACAUGCACUCCAUCUCAGAAUGCUGUUCUGCAGGUUUUGACUCGUGCAUUUAGAUUUUAACUCACUCUGGAUAUUUCUUGUGUUUUGUUUCAGACGUGUGCUACUAGAAUAUGUCAAACAUUAGAUUAAAAAUGUCAGAAAAGAGUCAGAGAAAGGGAAUAGACUAAGGUGAACAGACAACCCAGAUUUCUGGGGACAGUUCCCGUUUUGGAUGACCUGUCCCCGGCUAACCCACAGGAUCUGGAACCGCUUUGCUCCGGACCGGUAGGGAAAUAUGCAAGCAUAUAGCGCCCACCGGAUCCGAUCUGCCGCCGCUAGUGGUGCGCACAGAGGCAUAUUUUUGUUUUUACUUCAUAUUAGAUUUGCAGUCAUGUAGCCAAUGUUAAAUCCUUCACAUUUGCAUUUUAUUCACUAAAUCUGGCUUUAAAUGUCCAAAACUUUUCGCCGGUGCCAGCAUUUCCACGUCAAUGUGUAUCGGCCUGGCCUGGAUGGAGUCAAACUCUUGGCCUGAAUUAUGGUCCCAGUCCGCCCCUGUACAUGACUGUCGUGGAAGUCACCACAUUGACUCAGAUUAAUAUCCUAAAAACACCACAAAUGCACGCUGAAACAAUGAGCAAGUCUAAGGUGGACUUAGGAAAAGACGAAAAACUGUCCUGGAGUCUAAAAAAAAUUGUAAUUUUGACAUUGACGUUGAAUUUUGCUUCUCAAUUGUUCAUAGGUGCGUUUUGAGUCUGCUCAUAUUUCCUGUAAAACGACAGGUGCACCUUGGCUUUCGAUCUUUUUGCAGCUAAAUCAAAUGGUUGGAUUUUGUACUCUAUGCACAAUGGAUUCAGUUUCAUCCCUCAUAAUAUCUGUUGCUGUUUCUGUUUCUGCAUUUGUUUAAGAGUGCGCAUGAUGGAGAGCUUGCAAGCUGUCCCAAUAUUUGGCACUCACAGGGUUAAGGCAAAGCUUGGAAAAUGAACAAUCUUUACUCCCUUUGUGUGAAUAAAAUUAGACUUUUGCUGCUGUUUGUCUUGCUGUGAAAGGAAAUAUGAAAUAAAUGCACAUUGUGAACUGAUUACAAACUAAGGGACAGGCUGUGUAUUUUUUUCUUUUUGCCAUUAAACUUAUUUAAAUGCUUCCCUUUCUCGAGUUAGCGAGGGCAGUCAUGACUCAAACAUGGUCGCAUGAGCGUUUAAUAACCAUAAUAUUAAUUACAGUCAUAAAUCGCCUGAAUAAUCAUACUAAGUGCUUUUACUGCUUUCAGUAAUUACAUCUAUUUCCUUCAGCAUCUUAACUGUUGGCUGAGUUUUUGUUGGGAAUCAGUAAACCUCGGUCUAAAUGAUGAAAUCUGCCCCGUAGCACAUCUCCAUGUGAAUUCCAAUUCCUGAGUCGGUGCGUUUUCUCUCCGUCCUUUGACUCUGAAGAAAUCCUUUUAUGUUGCAAUUCGUUCAAGAGCGGGGUCUUAUUUUGUAAACUCAAAGAGAAAUUCUUUGCAGAGAAAGAAAAUUGGACACAUCAAAGAACGAGGCUGCGACAUUUAAUCACCAAAUAACUCCUGAGUGCCUUGAAGAUCACAGAUACAUGAUUUAUUGCUGCAUAACAGUCUCUGAGGACAGAUCGGUCCUUUAAGAGCCUUUUAAAAUGUUUUUGUAUUGCUUCUCACUUAAUAAAACCUGCUGGAAAUGGCCAGUGUCGGCGCGCUGAAUGGAUUCAAACAGUUUUUAGGAGUUUCACAAGGUCAGCAGUAGGAGUUAGGACACUUAUACACACACUCACGCUGGAAUCUAUAAAUCCAAGCAUGUCGGCCUUGGUGCAGUAAAACCAGCAGUCUCUCUUUCUGUCUCUUUAUCAUUCCUUACAGAGUCGUCACACACCUCAACACAUUCGUCCUCCAUCCUCUCUUUCUUACCUUCGGCUUCAUUCAGCCUAUCCAGACCUUGGAGAGAAUCGUAAUUGUAUGCAGUCAGAAUGUCUGGGGAAAAAAAGAAAAAGUAUAAGGUGCACUUGAGUCCUUUUUUUUUUCAGAAAUUGUGCUGCAUGCUUCUUGCGAGAUAACCAAGUUGACUUUCUCAAACUUGUUCAAAUAUUUCAGCCGAUGCUUUGUCGGGUAUGAAAACUUUUCCUGCACAAUGACGGCCAUGCAUUUUUUGCUUCAUAAUACAAAGAGUUUGGAGAGUUUUUGACAAGCCUGGAGGUCAUUCAAGUUCUUCAGCUCAAAAAACUGGGGCUGUGUCUACAUGUCAGACUAUUUCUGGGUAUGCAGUCUAGUGUCCCUAAAAAGGAGGCCCAUUUCUUGAGGAUUCUGCACCUCAAAAUCACAGUGCUGCUGCAUAAAGCAAUAUUCUCUGACUUUAAUGGUUAAAUGUGGAGUUUUGCCAUGGCCAAAAUCCUCCAUUACCUAAACCACGACCUGGUUUUCACGCAAAUAUUGCAGAAAUUGGGAAUUAUAAAAUAGCAGCCAUCGGGGGUGAAAAAGCAAAUUCUGAAUAUAUUCAGGGGUUUUGCAAAAAUCCUCCCCUCUUUCCUGUGAAGUUGUAAGAAUGUCAAAGCAUGAAACAUAGAUAAAUCAAAAGUAUUCAAAGAGAUUGGCUUGCUAACUAAAUCGGCUUUUUGCAGUUGGUUGUCAUCCUGCAAUGAGGUGCGAAGGAAAUCAGGGAAGGCUGCAGGGUUGGUUGCAAAUGUAAGAAUGCAGUUGUGUUCAAAUAAGCAUCGAAAUAACCAACUUUAACGCCCCGCUGAAACCACACCCUUUGACCUACUCUCAAUCUUUUUAGAGUAUUUCACCCUUAAUGUGUCAAAAAUGGGCGUACCAAAUUUGGAGAUGAUGAGAUGAAACCUUCAUAUAAAAGUUCACUUUAUCCUGGACCCUUUAAAAAUAAAACCGACUGUUAAAAUCGACUAAUUUUUCUAGAGACCUCCAUACAAUCGGACUUUAUUUCAAAUCCAGUGGCUAUUUAAGUUAAAACAAUACCAAACCCCAAUAUUAGAUGUUAUUCCUUAGAUUUUAUUUCCAUAUUUUGUGUCUACAUUCAGACCAUUCAAAUAUAUAUGACUUGUUAAAACUGGGUGACUUAUUUUAAUGGUUGGCGUGGUUUUGAUUGGGCUUUACCGUCAUGAAAAUCCAGUUUCCCCUCAAGUCUCUCCCCAAGCUGUAAACCUGAACCUAUAAGAGAAGCGGGUCUUUCCCCUAGAGUCCUAUUUCCUUCCAUCCUCAUCAUAUAUCCUCCCUUCCCUCUUGUCCACACUUGUCUGUGUACAGUUUUAUUUUUACAAGGACAUAUACAGCCCGGGUGACAUACUGCCAGCAAUUUCUUGUUGACUUGUAUCUCCGUUGUUGGCCAAAGUGGUGGUGCUCCAGUAACUGUCAGGUAAUAUGGAUUUAAGGUGGUAUUUAUUCUGGAAAACUGUGAUUUUUGUGUGUUUGUAAUACUCGUCCUGCCAGCUGCUUCGUCAAAUACCUGCUGUCGGUAAAAUUGAAGAAGAUGUAGUGCUGCAGGAAAAGAAAAAGAGCGCGUAGGAGAGGUUGAAGGAAGAGUUUAUCUAUGUGUAGAACAUGAUAUUUUCUUCACUUUAAGACUCCGGAGCUGCACUGCUGUCAACAUGAUGGAUAAUGUUUUAGGGCGAGGUCUCCCGGGAGUGAUCUGUUGUCUGUACAAUCAACUGUGGAGAGCCGAGACGGGAGGAGAAAGAGAGAAUGAGAGAAACUGACAGAGGGCAGCAGACAGAACCACUCCUCAUUACAGCCAAAUCCUGCUGGGGGUUCACCAAACUGGGGCGAUUUGAAGUUGAAAGUUUAAAGAAUUUCACUGUCUCCGUCUCGGUAACAAGGAAAGACACGCACACACACACACGCGCAUCUCCAGUCGAUGCACACACUCACUUGGCGCCCUAGCUACGGCCUAUGGGAACUCAUUAUCUUCCCAGACGAGCGGUGCCACAAGUCGCCAGGUCGGUCUCUUGCCACCGUGUCACUUUGGGUUCCAGUGUAUGGGUUGUGGAGACAGUAGGGGUGGGAAGAGGACUGAAAGACAUGGUGACAGUUGACCCAAGGGGGUUUAAAAUGGUCUUUGGGGGCAUCGCUUGGUGUGUUGGUGGAAAGUUUUCUCGAGGGGAGGUUCUAAAAGUGUCAGUCCUGGUAAACAGAAGUACGGCUAGCUGAUUGGAAACAGACCCAAAUGAUUCGCCAGAACCACGACACGCUGUUAAAUCCUUCAACUUAAUCCCCAGUCAGCUUGAAGCCUCAUUUUGAUAUCCUCAAUAGAAGAAUAUUAAAGGCAUGGUUGACGAUCUGAUUCCUCGCUUGGUCACAUUUCCUCUUCGACUCUGCCCUUUUUUCUGUCGGCUUGCGUCUUCUUUCUACUUUUACCCGCUCAGAGCUCCGAGGAGGGCCGGGAGAGUGGGAGGGGACGAGUCGGAACUACGGGAGAGGGGUGUGUCAAACACAGCGAAGUGAUUGGAUGGAGACGCGGAGCGGGAGAUUGAACAUUAGGAGCUGUCUGGGAUGCAAUAUUUUAUUUGAAGGACAGUAGGGGAAAGUCCCGCCUCCUUCGCUUCUGAUUGGCUAGAAAAGCUGGAAACGUCGGCUCUGUACAUCGAACAGAACAUUACAGAACAUUAUCGCACUUCUGAAUCUCCUAACCCGAUAGAUGAUGACAUUUCACAGCCAUUUGGAAUAACCAAUCAGAGCAAAGCACUUCUAGCCAAUCAGAGGCGAAGGCGGGUGGGACCUUCCCCUACCAUCCUCCAAAAAAAAAAAAUCCUGUCCGGGAUGGAUGGCGCCCAUUGGUCAAUGUUUUUGCCAUAGGACCAUGAUCGCCAUGUAAACGAGGUUCGUAAUAAUUACCAAUCCCUCCAAUCGUCAACCAUGCCUUUAAGGGUUAAAUCAGUCCUUCUGAGAAUUUAACCUUUCACCUUUACCGUUCCCUUCGAUAGGACAUCCACCUCAAAUUCCUUGAGAGUCUGGCAGGUAAGUGACAGGUAAACCUGCUAUCUCAGGAGCAGCAGCAGUAAGCGUUAAUGCGCUGACCCUGGAUGGAGGUUAGCAGGUCAUCCACUCACCGCUGCACAGAUGAUCUACGCACCGACUCGCCGAAAUAGGUCGAUGGCAUAAACUAAAUCCAAUAGGAAUAUUGCUUUUCAUUGAUUUUUUAUCCACCUUGGGAUAAUACACAUAUUUCAGCGACCGUGUGUGUGUGUGUGUGUGUGUGUGUGUGUGUGUGUGUGUGUGUGUGUGGGCGCAAAUGCAUAAACACAUGAUGGAUAAAACCACAGAUGAUUGGUCGUUACAGUGUGUGUUGACUAAUGCCUUCAUCAUGGGCGCCAAUGGAAACGUAACUCUUCCCGGACAUAUAGGAGACAUAAUACAGUAUAAGACUAUAACUUAGAGCGAGUGUGUUAUUAUUAGUGUGCCGGGUGCUCGCUCGCCCGCCCGCCCGACCGCUGCAGAGAGAGACAGAGGAGAGUUAUUUGUUAAAUGCCACCACGACUGUACCGGGGUCCUAAUUGGAUUUCCUCUCUCGCUCAAAAUGUCCCCUCGACUUUUAUGGAUAUGACCUCUGAGUCGGUCACAUACACAAGCAGUCUUACACCGGGACACACACACAGAGACACGUAUUUGGCAAAUGUUUGACUUUCGCAUGCAGGAAAAAUACAUUCAAAGACUACAAACGGCGCAUUUUCAAGAGAUGAACUUCAUUUUAAUUUCAUAUUUAGGCUUAGUAUUUGUUUAAGGGUAUCAAUUAAAAUUAGAAAUAAACAAAAUGAAAGUUAAACUACGAUUGAAAAUACAUUAAAUCAAAUCUGACAGCCCCGCGUCUCAAAAAGAGCCAUUCAGGAACCCAUUAGAAUCAGUUCAUUAAAAAGAUUCGUUCAAAAUAUCUGUUCACCGAAUCACCGAAGAUUAAGCGCUUGACGGGAGGAGCCUGUGACUUUCUGAACGGUUCAGGAUUCAGUUCAAUUCAUGGCGUCUGGGACCGGUAGACAAGAGUGUUGUGACUGUGUUGUUUUGACAAACAGAUUUGUAAAAAUUGACUCAUUUAUAAAUCACGAGGUUUUAAGUGGACUGCCCAGUGGUUUGCUAGUUGUCUACUUGGUAAAUUGGGCUCAGUGAGUGAUUCGUUCAUUGAACGUUCAGAAGAAUCCAAACUGAACAUGCACAGUUCCCUCGCAAAUCGCUGCAAUGACAGGAUCAGUCACACAUUUCUCAAACUGCAGGUUUUAUACACGACUUGAUACAUGCUGUGUCCUACUAAAUUUGUUAGAACAACGGGGAACAGUGGUCAUAUAAGUGUAUCCCUCAAACAAAAAUGAUUCCAGAGAGUGGUGUUCACUGCAUGAUUCGUUCACCAAGUGAUUCAGGCCUCGGUGCGUGCAGACCCUCGCUCACCUGACAGCUCAACUGAAGUGAGAAACGAACGAAUCACGACAAAGUAAUUCCGUUCAGUAUGCUCACUUAAAAGAUUUGGUUCUUUUGAAUGAAUCGUUCGCGAACAACACAACACAAAAUGGGAUAAUACAUUCAUGAAUCUCCUGUUCUGGACCUUUCUUAAGCUUUAUCACAAAGUCCAAACAUUGUAACAAUAUAUGUAACAAAAGGAGUUCCACAAGGGUCUAUGUUGGGACCACUGGUAUUCAUUCUUUAUAUGUCUCUCGUCCAAACUUUCACUCUAUGCAGAUGACAGAGUGAUGUACUGCUCUAUAUAGACUUAGCACUUUCACGUCCUCUUCCCUUUCUGGUUCUGAGCGUUAAAACUAAACUUUUUAUACAAUUUCCAACAACUAUUGAUCAGUUUGAGUUUAUAUUUCAUACAGCUCCACUUUAGGGCCAAAACAACGACUCCAACUUCUUUUCUACUCUCCCGUCUGCUUCGUAAAAUGACUCCUGACAUAUACAAAGUGUACUCUGUGCUGGUGAUGUACUGUUAAAAUGUCCUCAAAUCCUCCUCACAAUAUGCGCCUACAAUCUGGCAGGGAAGCAUGUUGUUUGUUCCUUUUUGUUCUUAUGUUUUAUCGCUAUAUGGCACCCGAAACUGCGUGAAAUCUGUGCCACGCACCUUGAACCCGAACUAGGGCAGAGACGCGCGGAAUGAAAUCUGCCUCGCUCUCUCUUUUGCAUACACAAAUAGAGCACCCCUUAUGUACAAAUCCACGACGACAACAACAACAACAACAACAGAAAUAAGAGGAAAAAAAAUCUCAUCUGAUGGAUAUGUUCUGCUGACUUUCAGUGUUUAUUCAUGCUGUUUUACUUGCUCUGCCUCAUCAUUCUGGAAAACAAACCUGUCCGCCUGUUUACAGAUGGCAGAGCUCAGAAUAAUCCUCAUCUACACCCACACGCGCUCGCUCCAUGCAUACCUUUUUUCCCUCUCUUCAACAUUUUCUACUCCUACUUUAAUAACCGCUCGGGCCUCCAAACUCCCACACAUCUGAAUCUAUAUAUUUGCCAUAUGUCUUUUAUCAUUAAAAGCCUGACAACUCGUCUAAAUCCAGAUGCUGGGACUCUGAUUCGUGUCAGAAAGUACACAUGCGAUAGAUCGGUUCAUUUUUUGUAAUUAGAGCUAAUUAAUGCUAACGAGGCUAUCAACGAGGAAUCAUGUGUGUCGGCACUGUUUAAUUACCGUAUGAAUAAAUAGAGCGGGGCGUUAACAUGAAGUCAGCAUAUUGUUAACUGUUUGUGUUUGGCCAACAUAGAUCCAGGAAAUGUGUUCAUUUACAUACAUGAUAAGGGACUCGCCCCGCACGGCUAUUAGCAUGUUAAUGGCGGCGUUUACUACACCGCCAAAAAAGGGGACAAUCAAACCUCUCAGCGGGUGUAAAAAUAAGCCGCCUCUCUGCAGUGAAGCGGGUUUUAUUUAUGAUUUAAAGCAGCUUUGCAUUGGGAAAUUUAGCGACAAUUCAAGGAGGGGGUAUUAAAUGCGCCUAAAUUAAUAAAAUCUCUCCACGGGGUUUUAAUGGCGGCUAUUUUCACCUCGAAUCAUCACUCCUUCUGUCUUUCUCCUUUCUCAAUGUAAGCAAAAAGGCAGAAUGUCACAUUUGAUAUUCACAACAACCUCCUCGCCCAAUCCCCCAGAGUCACCCGGCGCCAGAUGACGAGCAGGCUGCCAGGGGUCACCCGGCGAACCGGUCGCUCUCUACACACCCGCCGGUUCUCUGCGGAAGUGACCUAAUAACUGUGCCAGGCCUUCGCUGCGCCCCUGCCAUCUCUGCCCUCCGCUCGGCGGCCACAGAUCGUGAUCUCGCCCUCGUCGCCUGCCUUCCAGGAUUUCACCCCCCUCCCCCUGCUCAACUCUCAACCCUUCAUCUUCAUCUUCUUCUUCUUCUUCUCCCGCCUCGAGGAAUCCUCAGAUCCGCUCACCAGUUUUACGAGUUGGGAUUUUAUGAGCUUCAUCUACUUAUUUUUCCCCCUCUUCUUCUUCUUUUUCUCCCCGCCUCCUAACAGACGUUUCUCAGCUCAUUUCCAUCGGAUGCCCUACAGGGAAUCGCCGAGCGUAAAGUUGUGUCUCUCCCCAGCCGCCGCUCAACUUCUGCGCCCAUAAAGCAAAAUAAAAACGCGCUUUAGUGAUUUGUCAACUUGUGUCCUCGAGGGAGACGUAAUGUGGAGAUGGGCUAUCCUUGAAAUCCACUGUUUGGAGACGCUGCAUGAGCCAUCUUUCAAAAGUGUUCCUGAACAACUGGUGCGUUUGUUUGAAUGGGUGUGUGCGCCGCAGUGACAAGUGAAAAGAUGGUUCUUCCGCAAUGCGCAGGAAGUUUAAAGUGUAACACAGCCUUUGUCUGUAAUGAUGUGAAAAUGUGCACUAAGGUUUAAAACUUCCAUAACUUAAAUGUCAUGGCCCUGCUGUCUGAAAGAUGGUCUUGGUCUUUUUUUGUCUCCUUUUAUGUAUCCAUGUAAAUUAACAUACAUAAACUAUCAGUAUUGAUAUUAGUAUUGGCAAAAUCAUCACAGAAAGUAUCAGUAUUGCUAUCUGUAUUGUUUACUGUAACUCUGCUACAGAAAAGUGGUAAAAGUAUUGUUUACUGUAUCAGUAUUGAUGUAAAAACUGAAAUCUGUAUCUGUAUCAGUUUUGGUUUUAGGCCAAUAUACUAAAUUAUUAGAACAUGCAUGUGCUCUAACUGUAUAAUUAUCAAUGAAAAAGCUACAAAACUGAUAAGAAAGCAAUAAAAAGUAUUGGUACUGGAAUCAGUUCUGGUUGAAUUGAGGUAUCGGUUUAGAAAUAUCAGUGUGUAUUGCUUUCUUGUGUAUGUAUAAGAGAUACGAAAAUGAUAAAAUAAAAAAAAAUUAAAAAAGUUUCAGUGCUGGAACAUGUAACUGUAUGAGUAUCAGUGUCUGUUGAAUUGCUGCAAAAAUAUUGGUGUCAGUACAAAUAUUAGAAAAUAUGCAACAAAAGUAUCAGCAUCUGUGAAAUUACUACAAAAACAGAGGAUGUUUUGGUAAUUUUAACUAUAUCAGUAUCUAUGAAAAGCAAGAAAAGUAUUGGUAUCCGUUUAAGUAUGGGUCUAGGUAAAAGUAGUGCAAUCUGUAUUCAUCUUUAUAACUCAGAGAAAGAGUAUCAGUGUCAGUAAACAGAUACAAAAAUUUUGGUAUCGGCCUCAGUAUCUGUACUCAUAUUGCUGCAAUAGUAUUGGUUUAGGUCAAUAUACUUAAUAAGUAUCAGAACAUGCAUGUACUCUAAUUGUAUAAGUAUCAAUGAAAAAGCUAUAAAACUAUUAAGAUAGCCAUAAAAAGUAUUGGUAUUGGUAUCUGUAUCAGUUCUGGUUGAACUGAAGUAUCGGUUUUGUAAUAUUAGUACUGUAUUGCUAUCUGAAUAAAAGAUACAAAAGUGACGAAAUUGGUAUUUGUAUUCAUACUGGUAAAAUAGUUCCACAAAAUGAAGUUUCAAUGCUGGUACAUGUAUCGGUAUGAGUAUCAGGGUCUGUUAAGUUGCUGCAAAAGUAUCGAUGUUCCUACAAAUAUUAGAAAAAAAUGCAAUAAAAGUAUCAGCAUAUGUGAAAUUACUACAAAAAAGAGGAUGUUUUGUUCAUUUUAACUAUAUCAGUAUCUAUUGAAUAGCCACAGAAAGUAUUGGUAUCCGUUUAUAAAGUAAAAUAAGUAUGGGUCUAGGUAAAAGUAGUACUAUCCGUAUAUUCAUCUUCAUAACUCAUAGAAAGAGCUUCAGUAUCAGUAAACAGAUACAAAAAUGAUGAAACUGGAUUUUGUAUCUGUAUUUGUAUUCUGAGUAUCAGUAUCAGUAAACAGAUACAAAAAUGUUGGUAUCGGCUUUAGUAUCUGUUCUCAUAUUGAUGCAAUAGUUACAAAUAAUAAGGUAUCAGUGUUUGUAUAAGUAUAGGCAUUAGUAUCAGUUUCAGUUAAAGUGCUGUAAAAGUACCGAUAUUGGUAAAUUUACUGUUAUAAAAGCACCAGCAUUGUUAUCUGUAUUGGUAUCUCUAUAAUUGGCUAAAAUAUACCAGUAACUGAAGAAUUGCAUCAGAAUCACUGGUACAGAUAUCUGCUAUUGGUUAAAUUGCCACAAACAGUAUCAACACCAGUGUUAGUAUCGGUAACUGUAUCAGUAUUGGUAUCUGUAUCAGUACCAGUACAAUUGUAUUCUGUACUUCCAAAAGCUGGUGUCACACAUGUCUCUUGUGUAAAUAGGAUUUGCAAACCUGAUAUCUACGGUGAGCUCAAUAUCUGUCAAGCCCGUUUUAUGCACUUUUUAUUAUUGCUGUACUGUUUUUUAAAAUGUAGUUUCUCCUCUCUCUGAAACAUCACUCUUUAUUUUAUUUGGACCUUUUGGUUCCCUGUGAUAGGUCACUUCAAGUUCUCACUUCUGUGCCAAAAAAUCAGAGUCCCACUUUGUCCCUCUCAUCUAAAAUCAAGCCGCCCUCACUGCUGCACUUCAUCUCCUUUGUCACUCAGACAUGACUCCCCCUCACUCCUCCAUUGUUCCUCUCCUCUUCCUCGACCCUCUCUUAACAUACACCCGGAUGAACGACAGCUCCUCGUGACCUCCCGUUAUCUCCCAUCCAUUCCUGCUUCCCGGCCCCGCCUUCGCAUUCACACCCUUCCCAUUACCGUCAGUCGCCCCGCCACGUGCUGACCCCCUCCUUUUACCGUCCCUUACCGCUCGGACGGGUGGCAACAAUAGAGACAGGAGAGCCAAAAUGGCAGCCGCCCGCCCCUGUCUGGGGCGUCCCCUGAGGGGCCGGUCGCGUAUCUCCGCAGCCAAUCUUAAUGCGCGUCUUCCGCAACAAAUUGGCCAGUUUACUUAAGAGUCUGCUGUGGCCCAUGAAUAUUUGAUGUGGUCAGGGCUGCGGAGAGGUGGGAUACAAUGACAGGGGCUUAUCUUAUUUAGCCAGACAGAGGGGGUCGGAUCCUGGCCCGACCCGGAGUACUCCAAAGCUCUUCUGGGAUCUGGAAGAGCCCGAUCCAGGAGAAGAGUCUGAAAACAUCUUUUUGUCCCA